rnacentral:rRNA from 1 species
GGGAGUCAGUAACGCCCGAAGCCGGUGACCCAACCUAACAAGGAGGGAGCCGUCGAAGGCGGGACGGAUGACUGGGGUGAAGUCGUAACAAGGUACC